CGCAGCUGGCGACUCCAGCUCUCCCAGGCUGCCGGGCACGGGCUCGGCGCCGCGAGUCCGAGCCGCGCCGCGCCGCGCCGCUCGCAGCCCCAACUUGCCCGCCUCGCAAACUUGCCCCGGCUCCUGACAGGGCGCGGCUGGAGGCAAGGAGUCUCUCCUCUCUGCCUGUGCUCCUGAGUUGCCAACAGCCAUCCAGACAUCGAUUCAGACUGGGAAGAGAGGGCUGAAAAAAGCAUAGACUUUACUGCACUCUCCAAGAUAAU
rnacentral:lncRNA from 1 species